rnacentral:rRNA from 1 species
GACGAACGCUGGCGGCGUGCUUAACACAUGCAAGUCGAACGGAAAGGCCCUGCUUUUGUGGGGUGCUCGAGUGGCGAACGGGUGAGUAACACGUGAGUAACCUGCCCUUGACUUUGGGAUAACUUCAGGAAACUGGGGCUAUUACCGGGUAGAAGCUCCUGCUGCACGUGGGGGGUUGGUAAGUUUCGGCGGUUGGGGAUGGACUCGCGGCUUAUCAGCUUGUUGGUGGGGUAGUGGCUUACCAGGGCUUUGACGGGUAGCCGGCCUGAGAGGGUGACCGGCCACAAUGGGACUGAGGUACGGCGCAGACUCCUACGGGAGGCAGCAGGGGGGAAUAUUGCACAAUGGGCGGAAGCCUGAUGCAGAAACGCCGCGUGCGGGAUGACGGCCUUCGGGUUGGAAACCGCUUUCGCCUGUGACGAAGCGUGAGUGACGGUAAUGGGUAAAGAAGCACCGGCUAACUACGUG